rnacentral:misc_RNA from 1 species
GGAUGAAGAACGUAGCGAAAUGCGAUAAGUAAUGUGAAUUGCAGAAUUCAGUGAAUCAUCGAAUCUUUGAACGCACCUUGCGCCCUUUGGCUAUUCCGAAGGGCAUGCCUGUUUGAGUAUCAUGAACACCUCAACUCUCAUGGUUUGCCAUGAUGAGCUUGGACUUUGGGGGUCUUGCCGGCCUAUGGGUCGGCUCCUCUCAAAUUAAUCAGCUUGCCAGUGUUUGGUGGCAUCACAGGUGUGAUAACUAUCUACGCUUGUGGUUUUCCAUCAGGUAACCUUCAGUGAUGGAGGUUCGCUGGGGCUCAUAAAUGUCUCUCCUCAGUGAGGACAGCUUUUUUGAACGUUUGAUCUCAAAUCAGGUAGGACUACCCGCUGAACUUAAGCAUAUCAAUAAGCGGAGGA